AUGAUCAUAUCAUAUAAGUCGCUCUGGAUAAGAGCGUCUGCUAAAUGACUUAAA
rfam:Salmo salar isolate Sally breed double haploid chromosome ssa06, whole genome shotgun sequence.